UGUAUUUAUUAGAUACAAAACCAAUGCCCUUCGGGGCUCCUUUGGUGAUUCAUGAUAACUUCUCGAAUCGCACGGCCCCGCGCCGGCGAUGGUUCAUUCAAAUUUCUUCCCUAUCAACUUUCGAUGCUACGGUAGUGUCCUAGCAUGGUUGCAACGGGUGACGGAGGGUUAGGGCUCGACCCCGGAGAAGGAGCCUGAGAAACGGCUACUACAUCCAAGGAAGGCAGCAGGCGCGCAAAUUACCCAAUCCCGAUACGGGGAGGUAGUGACGAUAAAUACCGAUACAGGGCUCUUUAGGGUCCUGUAAUUGGAAUGAGUACAAUUCAAAUCCCUUAACGAGGAACAAUUGGAGGGCAAGUCUGGUGCCAGCAGCCGCGGUAAUUCCAGCUCCAAUAGCGUAUAUUAAAGUUGUUGUGGUUAAAAAGCUCGUAGUAGAAGCUCGGCCUCCGGCCGGCCGGUCCGCCUCACCGCGUGCACUGGUCCGGCCGGGGCUUCACCUUCUGCGGAAACCGCAUCCCCUUCACUGGGGGUGUCGGGGAACCAGG
rnacentral:rRNA from 1 species